GUUUCAACUAUGCCAGACCGCGCAACUUAGUUGUUGCGCAUGCUCAGUUAAAAAUGACCGGUUUUUGCUCAAGUGACGUGAAUCAGCGUUUGCACACAGAUACUACAGAAAGCCUAGGCUGUCUUUUAGGGUAUGACCACAUAAUCGGGUAGUGUCGCUAUCUGAAGAAGAUCUCUGGAAAUCUCGAAGGCCUUUGUAGCAUGUGAAACGACACAUUUCUCGUCCUCCCGUUUUGCCGCAUUCUCCGGGUUUUGUGAGGACUUUCGCUGUAAUCCAGUUAUUUGUGCUUACUAGAAUUCAGUUCGUGGGAGAUCCUACCGAUGUACGCCUCGCCGUAAUGGAAGAAUCGAGACCCAAAGACGGCGGAGUCAGGUUUGUUUGUUUGUUUUUAUUCUUACUCACAGCGCAUUCUACAGACCUCUACCGCCAUCAAAGAUGCCAAUUGUAGUUUCUGCCUUUCGCUUUUUGACUAUUGGCCGAUGCUGUGUGACCUCUGGCAUGACCAUCUCUACUGUAGUGAUGCUAAUGGUGGGCUCUAGAUGUGCUUCUUGUAUAGCUGCUGGCACUGGGGACAGUCAUACAAGGGAGACUAAUGCAAAUGUUGAAUGGCACACUUCUUGCACAUUAAAUGGUUGCAUUGGAGUUCAACUGGGAUGUUGACAACUUUUCACACAGGGUGCACUUGAACGAGUCAAACAGGGAUUCUGGUGCUACUGUUUCUAUUUGUUGGAUUAGGUCAGUCAAUUUGAUUGCUGACUGAUCUGUGAGAACAAGCUGAUUCUUUUUCAAUUUUUGGGUGGUCUUCCUUAUUUCUUCUGUUGCUGACAACUGCAGCAGGUGUUGCAGUUUUCUGAGUGUACCGUCCACUCUCUGCAGAAAGGUACAAGAAUAGAGGCUCCUUGCCUCUUUGUAAAUCAAUGCAUCACUAGAUGGCAGCGGACACAGAAAUUGACAUUUGUACUGACGUCCUCUCAAUUGAACCUGGGGGCACAUAACCUGCGAAGCUCUCUCGUACGGAAAGGAUGUGAUGUGCCAUAUCCAUAGACUAGACUGACAACACUUGUAUACUGGUUAACUGUUUCUGUAUACAUCUUAUGUAGUGUAUGGAGUAAGGAAAGGGCAUGAGAGUGUUGAGGUAAAGAACUGCUACACGUGUACCAUUCAAAUUCAAGGAACCAGUGUUGGUACACCAUUAGCAAGUUUUUUUGGCAAAGUUUAUUUUACCAUAGAUAUGAUUUUACUUACAUCUCAAGUUGCUAAGAAUAAUAUCUCUAGGCACGUGACCUAGGCCAUCUUGUCAUAUUUUAGUGCUAUUUUAGUAUAAAAUGACCAUGCU